GGGGGAGAGCUGCAGAAGGGCUCCACAAGCCGGGGCCUGGAGGACAAAGCUGGCAGUGAAAUAACAAAACUUAUCGCAACACGAGAGUUCUCUCCCUUAGUGGAAACGGAGGCAGUUCCUAAAAAGCAAACCUUUGUAAAUCAGGCAAACGAGACAGGCAGAUGAGAAUCACAGCAGACAGCGGAAAUGAGGCACAAAUAAUUUAAAUUAUUCGCACGUUGUGAAACUUUGCAGGACGAAGGAGAGAGCGCGAAAUCCGGCUGCGUAAAUCAGGGACGCCGCCAGCGUCUGUGCUAACAGUUGAAGCUGGAAUCCUGGGGGGCCGGAGGGAAAGCUUAUAGAGGACGCACGUGCAGCGCAGUGACGGGAGUGAAGAGCCCUCAACAUUUACCAAAACUGGGGAAAAAACAU
rnacentral:lncRNA from 1 species